GGGCGGUUAGCUCAGUUGGAAGAGCGCUGCUUUCGCAAGGCAGAGGCCGGCGGUUCGAGUCCGCUACCGUCCACCA
rnacentral:tRNA from 1 species